GACGAACGCUGGCGGCGUGCUUAACACAUGCAAGUCGAACGGAAAGGCCCUGCUUUUGUGGGGUGCUCGAGUGGCGAACGGGUGAGUAACACGUGAGUAACCUGCCCUUGACUUUGGGAUAACUUCAGGAAACUGGGGCUAAUACCGGAUAGGAGCUCCUGCUGCAUGGUGGGGGUUGGAAAGUUUCGGCGGUUGGGGAUGGACUCGCGGCUUAUCAGCUUGUUGGUGGGGUAGUGGCUUACCAAGGCUUUGAUGGGUAGCCGGCCUGAGAGGGUGACCGGCAACAUUGGGACGGAGAUACGGCCCAGACUCCUCCGGGAGGCAGCAGUGGGGAAUAUGGCACAAUGGGCGGAAGCCUGAUGCAGCAACGCCGCGUGCGGGAUGACGGCCUUCGGGUUGUAAACCGCUUCCGCCUGUGACGAAGCGUGAGUGACGGUAAUGGGUAAAGAAGCACCGGCUAACUACGUG
rnacentral:rRNA from 1 species